UACGUAGGUGACAAGCGUUGUCCGGAUUUACUGGGCGUAAAGAGCGCGCAGGCGGUCGAUCAAGUCGAGUGUGAAAGCCCCCGGCUCAACUGGGGAGGGUCAUUCGAUACUGAUCGACUCGAAGGCAGGAGAGGGUAGUGGAAUUCCCGGUGUAGUGGUAAAAUGCGUAGAUAUCGGGAGGAACACCAGUGGCGAAGGCGACUACCUGGCCUGUUCUUGACGCUGAGGCGCGAAAGCUAGGGGAGCAAACGGG
rnacentral:rRNA from 1 species